CAUCUCAUGUGGCCCCGCGGAUUCUCGGAACACGAUUUAAACCGAAUGUACCUUCACGAUCACGCCCUGACACAUCCGCAGUGUUUUGUUGUCCUCUUGCACAAGCGCACAUUCGUCGAAGUCUUCUCAACUGACAGAUAUCACAAGUCAAAGUAUUCAUCAGGCAGCGUUGCUUCUCUUCUUUUUUCCUUUUUACUCAUCCACUUCGUGACGUCCAAACGACGGUGUGACGAAGUCGCGUCGUGUGAUGCCUUUUUUGCAUAACCCCUGUUUCUUUUUUUCCUCACACACUCACUCGUCUCGGCUCCCGCUGCCCUAAUGUCCACUGUACGAGCGCGUGGACGUCCGUCAGUGGUACAAUCAAGCUUUUUCUUAGGAAGACAGGAAAUGACAGGAAUAUCAUCCAAGGACGACCGUUCACCUUCAAACCUGCUUUUGCGUGGACAUCCUUCUCAUCCCCACGCGGCGGGAGUAAAUAAGACAGCGGGAGGAAUCGGGAAUCCCCUGCUUAACGGCUUCUUUGAUAAAAAGAAAGGGAGAGCGCUGCACCCAGCAGAUGGUACGUGGUUCCUGGAUAAGGGCUGAACAUGAUGUACAUUAUUAACUUACGUUGUGCAGAAUAAAAGAUGCUUGUCGGGAAUUCUUGGUAAAAGUGCUUGAACAUCAUGUAUGAUACCAUGUAAAUCUGUUUGAUUACAGGCGUGCACAAAAUGUGACUGGGUAAUAAAAAUGUUCAAUGGGAA